rnacentral:rRNA from 1 species
UACGGAGGGUGCGAGCGUUGUCCGGAAUCACUGGGCGUAAAGGGCGCGUAGGCGGCCUGAUAAGUAGGGGGUGAAAUCCUGCGGCUUAACCGCAGGGCUGCCUUCUAAGCUGUCAGGCUAGAGCACGGUAGAGGCAGAUGGAAUUCCCGGUGUAGCGGUGGAAUGCGUAGAGAUCGGGAAGAACAUCAGUGGCGAAGGCGGUCUGCUGGGCCGUUGCUGACGCUGAGGCGCGACAGCGUGGGGAGCAAACAGGAU